rnacentral:rRNA from 1 species
CCUACGGGAGGCAGCAGUGAGGGAUAUUGGUCAAUGGACGAGAGUCUGAACCAGCCAAGUAGCGUGAAGGAUGGCUGCCCUAUGGGUUGUAAACUUCUUUUAUAUGGGAAUAAAAUGUUCCACGUGUGGGAUUUUGUAUGUACCAUAUGAAUAAGGAUCGGCUAACUCCGUGCCAGCAGCCGCGGUAAUACGGAGGAUCCGAGCGUUAUCCGGAUUUAUUGGGUUGAAAGGGAGCGUAGGGGGAUUGUUAAGUUAGUUGUGAAAGUUGGCGGCUCAACCGUAAAAUUGCAGUUGAAAUUGGCAGUCCUGAGUACAGAAGAGGUGGGCGGAAUUCGUGGGGAAGCGGUGAAAUGCU